rnacentral:rRNA from 1 species
UACAGAGGGUGCAAGCGUUGUUCGGAAUUAUUGGGCGUAAAGCGCGUGUAGGCGGCUUUGCAAGUCGGGUGUGAAAGCCCUCGGCUCAACCGAGGAAGUGCGCCCGAAACUGCAGAGCUUGAGUACCGGAGAGGGUGGCGGAAUUCCCCAAGUAGAGGUGAAAUUCGUAGAUAUGGGGAGGAACACCGGUGGCGAAGGCGGUUCUCUGGGACGGUACUGACGCUGAGACGCGAAAGCGUGGGGAGCGAACAGG